UUCCGGUUGAUCCCGCCGGACCUGACUGCUAUCGGAUUGAUACUAAGCCAUGCAAGUCUUUGUAGUAAUACAAGGCAUACGGCUCAGUAACGCGUAGUCAACCUACCCUAUGGAUGGGGAUAAUCUCGGGAAACUGAGCAUAAUACCCAACAGAUCAUCAAUUCUGGAAUGGUUGAUGAUUCAAAUGAUUUUUCGCCAUAGGAUGGGACUGCGACCUAUCAGCUUGUUGGUGAGGUAAUGGCCCACCAAGGCAAUUACAGGUACGGGCUCUGAGAGGAGAAGCCCGGAGAUGGGUACUGAGACAAGGACCCAGGCCCUAUGGGGCGCAGCAGGCGAGAAAACUUUGCAAUGUGCGAAAGCACGACAAGGUUAAUCCGAGUGAUUUCUGCUAAAGGAAUCUUUUACCAGUUCUAAAAAUACUGGCGAAUAAGGGGUGGGCAAGUUCUGGUGUCAGCCGCCGCGGUAAAACCAGCACCUCAAGUGGUCAGGAGGAUUAUUGGGCCUAAAGCAUCCGUAGCCGGCUCUGUAAGUUUUCGGUUAAAUCUAUAUGCUCAACGUAUAGGCUGCCGAAAAUACUGCACAGCUAGGGAAUGGGAGAGGUAGACGGUACUCGGUAGGAAGGGGUAAAAUCCUUUGAUCUAUCGAUGACCACCUGUGGCGAAGGCGGUCUACCAGAACAUGUUCGACGGUGAGGGAUGAAAGCUGGGGGAGCAAACCGGAUUAGAUACCCGGGUAGUCCCAGCUGUAAACGAUGCAGACUAGAUAAUGCACUGGCACAUAGCCAGUGCAGUGUCUCAGGGAAGCCGUUAAGUCUGCCGCCUGGGAAGUACGUACGCAAGUAUGAAACUUAAAGGAAUUGGCGGGGGAGCACCACAAGGGGUGAAGCCUGCGGUUCAAUUGGAUUCAACGCCGGG
rnacentral:rRNA from 1 species